rnacentral:rRNA from 1 species
AUUGAACGCUGGCGGCGUGCCUAAUACAUGCAAGUCGAACGCAGUGGGGACGGGUGUGUAACACGUGGGUAACCUCCCAUCAGAGGGGAUAACACUUGGAAACCGGUGCUAAACCGAUACUGAUGGAUGGACCCGCGGUGCAUUAGCUAGUUGGUGAGGUAACGGCUCACCAAGGCCACGAUGCAUAGCCGACCUGGGAGGAUGACCGGCCACACUGGGACUGCGACACGGCACAGACUCCUACGGGAGGGAGCAGGAGGGAAUCUUCGGCAAUGGGCGAAAGCCUGACCAAGCGACGCCGCGUGAGUGAAGAAGGUUUUCGGAUGGUAAAGCUCUGUUGUUAGAGAAGCGGUAUCUAACCAGGAAGCCACGGCUAACUCCGUGCCAGCAGCCGCGGUAAUUC